GAUGAACGCUGGCGGCAUGCCUAAUACAUGCAAGUCGAACGAGAGGAAGGAAAGCUUGCUUUCCUGAAUCUAGUGGCGAACGGGUGAGUAACACGUAGGUAACCUGCCCAUGUGCCCGGGAUAACUUCUGGAAACGUAUGCUAAAACCGGAUAGGUAGCAGACAAGCAUUUGACUGCUAUUAAAGUGGCUAAGGCCAUGAACAUGGAUGGACCUGCGGUGCAUUAGCUGGUUGGUGAGGUAACGGCCCACCAAGGCGACGAUGCAUAGCCGGCCUGAGAGGGCGGACGGCCACAUUGGGACUGAGACACGGCCCAAACUCCUACGGGAGGCAGCAGUAGGGAAUUUUCGUCAAUGGGGGGAACCCUGAACGAGCAAUGCCGCGUGAGUGAGGAAGGUCUUCGGAUCGUAAAGCUCUGUUGUAAGAGAAAAACGGCACUCAUAGGGAAUGAUGAGUGAGUGAUGGUAUCUUACCAGAAAGUCACGGCUAACUACGUGCCAGCCGCCGCUGUAAUAC
rnacentral:rRNA from 1 species